GAAGGGAUGAAAUCUUCAGGCUCCAAAAUCAAUCCUAGUAUUAUGUUUGCUUACUUUUUUUGAGGAGUCAACUCUAUAUUUAUUGAAAUAUGUAGCAUGAUAAAACAAGAACUUAAUUAUAUUAGAAAAUGGAUCCAAAAGUCCGUGGAACUGACUUGUAGCAAUGCACAAUUAAAAAUGUAGUCCUUCAGUGCACUUUUUAACAUGUUAAUAUUAUAAGGCAAAUUUACUAUUUAGUCCCUGAGUUUUACCACAAAUCACUAUUUGGUCCCUAUGUUUUACAAAUUGAAC
rnacentral:misc_RNA from 1 species